AAGGAAAAAGGGUGAUUUUAUUUUUUAUUUUUAUAAGUAAACAGUAGUAUUAAUAAGAAUAGACAUAGCCUAGGUACACAAGAUGUUAUACAAGAGAUAAAACCUAUCUAGUUUGCUAAAAAAGAAAUAAGAAAAUCAUGUACAUUUAGGCCAUUAAAAUCUACAGCAAUAGCCCAAAGAAAUAAGGUGCGGAAAAAUAAAAUCCUAAGAUCCUCUAUUGUCUGCUCCUCAUAUUCA